rnacentral:rRNA from 1 species
UGGGGAAUUUUGCACAAUGGGGGCAACCCUGAUGCAGCGACGCCGCGUGAUUUAGAAGGCCUUCGGGUUGUAAAAAUCUUUUUUACGGGAUGAAAAUGACAGUACCGUAAGAAUAAGGUCCGGCUAAAUACGUGCCAGCAGCCGCGGUAAUACGUAUGGACCGAGCGUUGUCCGGAAUCAUUGGGCGUAAAGGGUACGUAGGCGGCCUAGUAAGUUAGAAGUGAAAUAAUAUAGCUCAACUAUAUAAAGCUUUUAAAACUGCUAGGCUUGAGAGAUGGAAGGGAAAGUGGAAUUCCUAGUGUAGCGGUGAAAUGCGCAGAUAUUAGGAAGAAUACCGGUGGCGAAGGCGACUUUCUGGUCAUCAUCUGACGCUGAGGUACGAAAGCGUGGGUAGCAAACAGG